UUAAGAUAAUAAUUAAUUAAUAAAUUUAUUAAUAAAAGAAUUUUUAUUUAAAAUUUGUAUAAAUUAGUUUUAGUAUAUUUUAUAGAAAAAAUUUUAAAAUUUAUAAUGAAUAAGUAUUGUGAAAGAAAUUUGAAAUAAUUGAAAAUUUAUUUUAAAAAAAGUAAUUUUAAUUUAUUGUAUCUUGUGUAUCAGAGUUUAUUAAUAAAAAUUUUUAUUUAAAAAUUUCUCGAAUUAAAAAGAGUUAUUAAAUUAUAAAAGUUAUUGUUUCAUAAAUAUUUUUAAUAAUUUAAUUGAAAUGAAAUGUUAAUCGUUUUUUAAGAUAUCUAGUUUUUUUAGAAAAAAAUUUAAUUUUAAAUUUUAAAUAUAAAAUAAUUUUUUAGAUAAUUAUUUAAUUUAAAAUUUUAAUAUUUUAAGGGAUAAGCUUUAAAAUAAAUUUUUAUAAGAAUUUUAAAUUUAUUAAGAAUUUUAUAAUUUAUAUUGUUAAAUAAAUUUUAAUUUAUUAUAAAUAAUUUUAUUAAAAUAAAAAUUUAAUUUAUAAUUCUUUAAUUUUUUAUAAAAAAUUAAUAUUUAAUAAUAUAUUUUUAAUUAUAAUGAUAAAAUUAGUAUAUAAAAAUUAUUUAAUUUGAAAUUAAAAUAUAUUAUAUUUAUGUUAAAUUAAUUAAAAAGAAUUCGGCAAAUUUAAUUGAAUUAUAUUCACCUGUUUAUCAAAAACAUGUCUUUUUGUUAAUAAUUUAAAGUCUAAUCUGCCCACUGAUUUAUUAUUAAAGGGCUGCAGUAUUUUGACUGUACAAAGGUAGCAUAAUCAUUAGUCUCUUAAUUGGUGACUUGUAUGAAUGAUUGAAUGAAAUAUAAUCUGUUUCUUAAUUAUUUAUAAAAUUUAAUUUUUUUAUUAAAAAGUAAAAAUAAAUUUAAAAGACGAGAAGACCCCAUAGAGUUUAAUAUAAAAAUUAAUUUAAAAUUAUAUUUAAUGAAAUUAAUUAAAAUUAUUUUUUAUAUUUUAUUGGGGUGAUAAAAAAAUUAAAAAAACUUUUUUAUUUUAAUUUCCAUAGAUAAAUGAAUUUAUGAUCCAUUAUUAUUGAUUAAAAGAAAAAAUUACCUUGGGGAUAACAGCGUAAUUUUUUCUUCUAGUUCAAAUAGGAGAAAGAGUUUGCGACCUCGAUGUUGGAUUAAGAUAAAAUUUAAAUGCAAAAGUUUAAAAUUUUGAUCUGUUCGAUCAUUAAAAUCUUACAUGAUCUGAGUUCAAACCGGUGUAAGCCAGGUUGGUUUCUAUCUUUAAAUAAAUAAAAUAUUUUAGUACGAAAGGAUCGAAUAUUUAAAAUAAUUUUUAUUUUUAGAAUUUUAUUAAUUUUAAUCUAAAAUUAAAAAAUUUUUAGUUUAAUAUUAUAU
rnacentral:rRNA from 1 species